AACUUAGGAUGAUCCAGCAGAAGUUACACCUGGUUGAAGGUGGUACCAUUACUGUUUUAUUCAGUGACUUUAUUGCCCUUUGGGGAGUGUGGGUGGAAUGGCGGCAGAUAUUACUUCAUGUGAUAAAAGACAAACAGAGAGUCUUCUAAAUUUUAUUUAGAAUAAAACCAGCAUGGUAGAAAUACAUCAGUGAUACAAGUGAAAAAGAACUUGAUUCCUUAAUAAAAUCACUUACAAGUGCAAAAAUGGACCCCAUAUGUGCUCUGCUUUACUUACACUCAACUCUAACCUGCGAGCAUAUUAGGAAAAAAGAAGCAAGUGCAUCCAAUAAAAUUAUUUGUAACUUAAUUUGUAUGAGGCGGGACAAGGUUGCUUUUGAUCCAAGUCUGGUAUUUCUUGGUUAACAGGGUGUAGAUUCCAGGCUUUUUGGCAACACCACAUUCAUGACCUCCAGAGACUAUGGCAUGGAAGACACCUUUACAGAUCAAGGGGCCCCCUGAGUCACCCUGGAAGGAAGAAAAAGGGCAAAUACAUGGGGUGUGGCAACAGUAAAGCUUUCUACGUGUUAAACAGAAUGAACAAAACCAACACAGAGCAGUAACUUCCUGCCAGAGAGAGCAGAAGGAGACCCUUAUAGAACAGUUGUUCCACUGGUUCAAAGGCCUCGUGUGGUUCUAUCCUUUGGACUGCCUUUCUUCAACAGCCCAGACACCUGCUCCAUCAGAUUUAUAAGCCACACCCCCUAGAGCCAUGCCAAUCAAAGCAUGGCCCGCAGACCUGUGCCAGUCUCCGAACCUG
rnacentral:antisense_RNA from 1 species